rnacentral:RNase_P_RNA from 2 species
AUAGUAGGUCGGUUUGUCGCCGUUCAUUGUGUGUGAAAGGAGGAAAGUCCGGGCAACGUAGAGCGCCAUACUUCUUAACGGGAAGUUGUUCGUGAGAGCAAAGUAGUGUAACAGAAAAUAACCGCCAUGCCUUGUGUGUGGUAAGGGUGAAAAGGUGAGGUAAGAGCUCACCGGUUUGUUUGGUAACAAGCAGAGCCGUACGCCUUAUGGGUUGCAAGACCAUGUAUACCGACGCAUGUAGGGCUGCUCGUCCGAUGUCGGGGGGUAGGUUGCUAGAGGCAACAAGUGAUUGUUGUUGUAGAUAAAUGACAAACAUUUACGCAAGUAAAUACAGAACCCGGCUUAUAGACCUGCUAUUUUU